rnacentral:rRNA from 1 species
AUUGAACGCUGGCGGCAUGCCUUACACAUGCAAGUCGAACGGCAGCACGGGUGCUUGCACCUGGUGGCGAGUGGCGAACGGGUGAGUAAUACAUCGGAACGUACCUUAUCGUGGGGGAUAACGCAGCGAAAGCUGUGCUAAUACCGCAUACGCCCUGAGGGGGAAAGCGGGGGAUCGCAAGACCUCGCGCGAUUAGGGCGGCCGAUGCCUGAUUAGCUUGUUGGUGGGGUAAAAGCCCACCAAGGCGACGAUCAGUAGCUGGUCUGAGAGGACGAUCAGCCACACUGGGACCGAGACACGGCCCAGACUCCUACGGGAGGCAGCAGUGGGGGAUUUUGGACAAUGGGGGCAACCCUGAUCCAGCAAUGCCGUGUGAGUGAAGAAGGCCUUCGGGUUGUAAAGCUCUUUUGUCAGGGAAGAAACAGCAGCUCUAACACAGUCUGCGAAUGACGGUACCUGAAGAAUAAGCACCGGCUAACUACGUGCCAGCAGCCGCCGUAA